GAGGAUAUAGCUCAGUGGCAGAGCCCAUGCCUAGCAUGCACGAGGUCCUGGGUUCAAUCCUCAGUGCCUUCA
rnacentral:tRNA from 1 species